AGGUGGUUGCCUAUACAGGAGUAGGUGGUUGCCUAUACAGAAGUAGGUGGUUGCCUAUACACAAGUAGGUGGUUGCCUAUACAGAAGUAGGUGGUUGCCUAUAUGGAAGUAGGUGAUCCGCGUAUUCAAAUUUACGCGCGUAUAGUAUAGUUGGCCAGCUGCACACCGAGGGCGCAAAUUUGUUUCCAUCGUUAACAACGUAGGUAUCAUUUCUUAUAUUGAAGUUCUGUGCCUGGAAACAACCAUGGAAAACAUUAUAUGGAGAAUAUCUCAUUGCAUACGAGUAUUUCGCUGAAAAAGAAAAUUCUGUGAAAUCAACAUUUUGGGCUACAUAGUCGUUGUUAAAGUCAACUCUGUUAAUAUAAAACAGCAUAGAUAUAAUCUAAGUACACCAAGUUCUCAAGCAAAAAAUAUAGGUUAUGUUUCCCAGAAAUCAAAUAUAGUUACAAGAGAAAACUUACGAAAAUUUUUAGCAGAGGCCCGUGAUUAAUGUACCUAAUGUCAAAGGUAUAUUUUUUAUUCGAACCUGGUUGUAGGAGUAUGCGGAAUGGAAGAAUUUGAACAAUUUUCUUGUAUCUACAUAACCUAUAAUAAGCUUUUAUUAUUAUUACAGAACAGAUUAUUAGCUUACAUGCCCAUUUUAAAUGAAAAAAGAUCUGCAGCAAUUGCAAAAUAGAGAUGGAUAGCUAUAAUAACAAGAACUUUACAUGCAUUCGACCGAACUUGCAAAAACUGGCAGAUAAUAUAUCAAAUUUAUUACCCAAAAACUCAGCCACAGUUUAUGAAAAGCGGUAUGAAAAUUUUUUUUUUUGGCGCAGAAACAACCAUGCGAAAUACAUGGAGAACACCUCAUUGCAUACGAGUAUUUCGCUGGAAAAGCAAAUUCUGUGAAAUCUUUAACACUUUGGGUGCAUAGUCGUAGUUAAAGUCAAGUAGAUAUAUCUAAGUACACCAAGUUUUCAAGCAAAAAAUAUAGGUUACGUUGCCAAGCAAUCAAAUAUAUUUACAAGAGAAGACUUACCAAAAUUUUUAACAGAAGCCCAUGAUUAAAUGUACCUGAUGUUAAAGGUUUAUUUUUUAUUACAAGUUGUAGGAGCAUAUAGAAUGGAUAAAUUGAGAAAGAAUGACGGCAUUCAAGACAAAAACGAUACGCUAAUAAUUAAAAUUCCUACGUCUAAAACUGGCAAAGCACGAGAAUUUACAAAUAUGUGUAAAAAUAUUUAUCCAAUUGAAAUAUAGUAAAAAUACCUAAUUUUAAGACCGCACCAUACACCAGACAAAUCAUUAUUUAUACAUUACAUUUGGAUAGUGAAUGCAGCAGCUGUUGCAUUGUACAAAUAUACCUGCAAACACAUUGUAACAAAUUAUGCAGACACCUCUUUUGACUAAAAGAUAUAUAUUUAACUUUAUCCAUACGUUGUCAACUUUGUUAAUAAUUGCAAUCUUUAACUUCAUAAGAAAUAUGAAUAAUCUACUUUGGUGUUGUAUAGUAGUAUUAAAUGUUCAUAGAAUAUAAUUGCACUUACUACGAAGUAAGCUUUCCUAGUUUUAAG